rnacentral:sRNA from 1 species
GCUGGGCGUGGUGGCGCGUGCCUGUAAUCCCAGCUACUUAGGAGGCUGAGGCAGGAGAAUUGCCUGAGCCCAGGAGGCGGAGGUUGCGGUGAGCCGAGAUCGCGCCAUUGCACUCCAGCCUGGGUAACAAGGGCGAAACUCCGUCUCAAAAAAAAAAUACAAAAAUUAGCCAGGUGUGUAGGCACGAGCCUGUAAUCCCAGCUACUCAGGAGGUGGGGGCAGUUAGUGAGCCAAGAUCCUGUCACUGCACUCCAGCCUGGGUGACAGAGCAAGAUUCUGUCUCA